rnacentral:rRNA from 1 species
GAGGCGGGCCGGCACGUUUACUUUGAAUCAAACUGGGUGCUCAAGGCAGGCAAAUUAAUUUACCGCCCGAAAGAACUUGCAUGGAAUAAUGGAAUAGGACCUCGGUUCUAUUUUGUUGGUUUUCGGAACCCCGAGGUAAUGAUUAAUAGGGACAGACGGGGGCAUUCGUACUGCGACGUUAGAGGUGAAAUUCUUGGAUCGUCGCAAGACGAACUACUGCGAAAGCAUUUGCCAAGAAUGUUUUCAUUAAUCAAGAACGAAAGUUGGGGGCUCGAAG